CCUACGGGAGGCAGCAGUAGGGAAUCUUCCACAAUGGGCGCAAGCCUGAUGGAGCAACACCGCGUGAGUGAAGAAGGGUUUCGGCUCGUAAAGCUCUGUUGUUGGAGAAGAACGUGCGUGAGAGUAACUGUUCACGCAGUGACGGUAUCCAACCAGAAAGUCACGGCUAACUACGUGCCAGCAGCCGCGGUAAU
rnacentral:rRNA from 1 species